AAGUGCCUUCUGAUUCCAGGCCAGGCAAGCCUGGAGCUUUUUUCCUUUUAUGUGGAUCACGUAGAAAGGGAACUCCAAGGAAGGUUCUGGCAGGCCAGUAACUCCUGUUGCUCAUCUCAUGUUCUUUCAAGGCACAGUGACUGCAGUGAAGCCACCAUUAACAAACACAAUGUACUUCACUCCUUCUUUGGAAAGGUGUGCAAAGAUGGUAGUGUGUGACUUUAGCUCUGCUUGGGGUAUGAAAAAUCUUCCUCGGACAACUAGGCUUAGCCUUAAAUGUGCUAACUUCAUUGAUCAUCCCUGCAGUAGCAUCUACACAAACUGACAUUCAGGAACUCUUGAGGCGGAGUUAACUGCUUUAGAUUCUCUGAAACGUAAAGAGAACUCU
rnacentral:lncRNA from 1 species